rnacentral:rRNA from 1 species
UACGUAGGGGGCGAGCGUUGUCCGGAAUUAUUGGGCGUAAAGCGCGUGUAGGCGGCUUGGUAAGUCCGCUGUGAAAACUCGGGGCUCAACCCCGAGCCUGCGGUGGAUACUGCCUCGCUUGAGUCCGGGAGGGGAGAGCGGAACUCUAGUGUAGCGGUGAAAUGCGCAGAUAUUAGGAAGAACACCGGUGGCGAAGGCGGCUCUCUGGAACGGUACUGACGCUGAGACG